GGUGGAACUGCUUGGUAAACCCGCGCAUCUUGAGACAGAUAGAGGUGGUCGGAACGCUCGGUGGAGUGGUGAAAUGCGUUGAUAUCGAGCGGAACGCCGAAGGUGAAGACAGGCCACUGGAUCUGUUCUGACGCUCAGGUACGAAAGCGUGGGGAGCGAACGGGAUUAGAUACCCCGGUAGUCCACGCCGUAAACGAUGUGCACUAGGUCGAGGGGGUUUUGACGCCGCUCUCGGCCGAAGCAAAAGUGUUAAGUGCACCGCCUGGGGAGUACGGUCGCAAGGCUAAAACUCAAAGGAAUUGACGGGGGCUCACACAAGCGGUGGAGCAUGUGGCCUAAUUCGAUGCAACGCGAAGAACCUUACCUGGGUUUGACAUGUAUGGAUUAGCUCCCUGAAAGGGGAGUGACGCGGCUUACCGUGGAACAUACACAGGUGCUGCAUGGCUGUCGUCAGCUCGUGCUGUGAAGUGUUGGGUUAAGUCCCUUAACGAGCGCAGCCCCUAUCGCUAGUUGCCAGCGCGUCAUGGCGGGGACUCUAGCGAGACUGCCGGUGUCAAACCGGAGGAAGGUGGGGAUGACGUCAAGUCCGCAUGGCCUUUAUGCCCAGGGCUGCACACGUGCUACAAUGGCGCGUACAGAGCGACGCAAUACCGCGAGGUGGAGCAAAUCACAAAAAGCGCGCCCCAGUUCGGAUUGGAGGCUGCAACUCGCCUCCAUGAAGUCGGAAUCGCUAGUAAUCGCGGAUCAGCUACGCUGCGGUGAAUACGUUCCUGAGCCUUGUACACACCGCCCGUCAAGUCAUGGAAGCUGGCAGCGCCCGAAGUCGCCACGAUUCAGUGGUGCCCACGGCGAGGCUGGUGACUGGGACUAAGUCGUAACAAGGGUAACC
rnacentral:rRNA from 1 species